rnacentral:rRNA from 1 species
CGCGCAGGCGGUUGUUUAAGUCGAAUGUGAAAGCCCCCGGCUCAACUGGGGAGGGUCAUUCGAUACUGAACGACUUGAAGGCAGGAGAGGGAAGUGGAAUUCCCGGUGUAGUGGUGAAAUGCGUAGAUAUCGGGAGGAACACCAGUGGCGAAGGCGACUUCCUGGCCUGUUCUUGACGCUGAGGCGCGAAAGCUGGGGGAGCAGACG